UACGAAGGGGGUUAGCGUUGCUCGGAAUCACUGGGCGUAAAGCGCACGUAGGCGGAUUGCUAAGUCAGGGGUGAAAUCCUGGAGCUCAACUCCAGAACUGCUCUUGAUACUGGAGACCUUGAGUCCGGGAGAUGUGAGUGGAACUGCGAGUGUAGAGGUGAAAUUCGUAGAUAUUGGCAAGAACACCAGUGGCGAAGGCGGCUCGCUGGCCCGGUACUGACGCUGAGGUGCGAAAGCGUGGGGAGCAAACAGG
rnacentral:rRNA from 1 species